rnacentral:misc_RNA from 1 species
ACGGUCAUUCUUCUGCCACGCGGCCAGAUGGUCCAGGUAAGAUCCCUGACGAGGGAUUUGACCCACUGAGUCACCCCCGGCCUGACUCACCGCCCUCGAAUCGCCCAUGUCCAAUUGGGUCGUGUAACUGGGACCCACUGUCUGAGUUGCACCCACAGUUGCAGCCUUUUGGAGAAGUGCAGUGGCUGACAGGUGGUUCGAUGAUGCCGACACGGCAGGG